UACGUAGGGGGCAAGCGUUGUCCGGAAUCAUUGGGCGUAAAGCGCGCGUAGGCGGCCCGGUAAGUCCGCUGUAAAAGUCCAGGGCUCAACCCUGGAAAGCCGGUGGAUACUGUCGGGCUAGAGUCCGGAAGAGGCGAGUGGAAUUCCUGGUGUAGCGGUGGAAUGCGCAGAUAUCAGGAGGAACACCAACGGCGAAAGCACUCUGCUGGGCCGACACUGACACUGAGAGACGAAAGCUAGGGGAGCGAAUGGG
rnacentral:rRNA from 1 species